rnacentral:rRNA from 1 species
CCUAUUCUCCUCUCUUUCUCCCGCUUUACCUUUCCUAAAGCGCGUUCCCGCGGUUGUUUCCGCCCCUUUUUCCCCCUCCCCUCUCCCCUUUUCUCUUCCUUGUGAGACUGAAAAACUGGAGAGAGGUAGAGGCGAAUGGAAUUCCGGGUGUAGUGGUGAAAUGCGUAGAGAUCCGGAGGAACACCAGAGGCGAAGGCGACACCCUGGGCCGUACCUGACGCUAAGACGCGACAGCACGGGGAGCGAACGG